CUCCCUCAGUACUGACCCCCCCUGACAGUGCUGCUCUGGAUGUAUCAAGCGAGAUUAGUUGUUCCUUUGGGUCCGGUCCCCUGCUGAGCUGUGAACCCCUGGGCCAGGCUGAGGGAGCGUGAGCGUCACACCGAGCCAGCGUCUGGCUCAAAGCUGAGCCUCCUCGGAGUGACUGGGCUGCUGAGUGAGAUCGGAGCCAACUCUCGGUCUGCCUUUUCUGUUUGAUGUUCCCCUUCCAGGAGCGUAUCUUGCCUGACGCUGGUCCAGGAACAGAUUACAGACCAUGUUCCAACUUGCUGUCACCUGCCUGGCCCUCUCGAGCUGUUUCCACCUGGCAGCAGCUAGUACCAUAGACACUGCCCUCCAGAUCGACGAUGAGGGUGCAAUGCGGGCCCAAUUCAAGGAUUUUAUGGUGAAAUACAAGAAGGAAUAUGACAAUGAG